rnacentral:rRNA from 1 species
UACGGGGGGGGCAAGCGUUGUUCGGAAUUACUGGGCGUAAAGGGCUCGUAGGCGGCCAACUAAGUCAUACGUGAAAUCCCUCGGCUUAACCGGGGAACUGCGUCUGAUACUGGAUGGCUUGAGUUCGGGAGAGGGAUGCGGAAUUCCAGGUGUAGCGGUGAAAUGCGCAGAUAUCAGGAGGAACACCGGUGGCGAAGGCGGGUCUCUGGGCCGUAACUGACGCUGAGGAGCGAAAGCGUGGGGAGCGAACAGG